AACGAACGCUGGCGGCGUGCCUAAUACAUGCAAGUCGAACGAAAUACCUUCGGGUAUUUAGUGGCGAACGGGUGAGUAAUACGUAGAUAACCUGCCUAUAGGACUGGGAUAACUAUUGGAAACGAUAGCUAAUACCGGAUAGGUAGAACGAGGGCAUCCUUGUUCUAUUAAAGUUGGGAAACAACACAUAUAGAUGGAUCUACGGCGCAUUAGUUAGUUGGUGGGGUAACGGCCUACCAAGACGAUGAUGCGUAGCCGACCUGAGAGGGUGAACGGCCACACUGGGACUGAGACACGGACCAGACUCCUACGGGAGGCAGCAGUGAGGAAUAUUGGUCAAUGGACGCAAGUCUGAACCAGCCACGUCGCGUGAAGGAAGACGGCCCUACGGGUUGUAAACUUCUUUUAUACGGGAAUAAAGUGCCCCACGCGUGGGGUUUUGCAUGUACCGUAUGAAUAAGGAUCGGCUAACUCCGUG
rnacentral:rRNA from 1 species